rnacentral:rRNA from 1 species
UACGGAGGGUGCAAGCGUUGUCCGGAUUUAUUGGGUUUAAAGGGUGCGUAGGCGGCCUAAUAAGUCAGUGGUGAAAGCCUCCAGCUUAACUGGAGAACUGCCAUUGAUACUGUUAGGCUUGAGUAUACUUGAGGUAGGCGGAAUUGACAGUGUAGCGGUGAGAUGCAUAGAUAUUGUCAAGAACACCAAUUGCGAAGGCAGCUUACUAAAUUAUAACUGACGCUGAGGCACGAAAGUGUGGGUAUCAAACAGG